GACGUAGGGUGCAAGCGUUGUCCGGAAUUAUUGGGCGUAAAGAGCUUGUAGGCGGUUUGUCGCGUCUGCUGUGAAAUUUCGGGGCUCAACCCCGAACUUGCAGUGGGUACGGGCAGACUAGAGUGUGGUAGGGGAGACUGGAAUUCCUGGUGUAGCGGUGAAAUGCGCAGAUAUCAGGAGGAACACCGAUGGCGAAGGCAGGUCUCUGGGCCACUACUGACGCUGAGAAGCGAAAGCAUGGGGAGCGAACAGG
rnacentral:rRNA from 1 species